rnacentral:rRNA from 1 species
GACGUAGGAGGCGAGCGUUGUCCGGAAUCAUUGGGCGUAAAGGGCGCGCAGGUGGCCCCGCGCGCCCCGGGUGAAAGCCCCCGGCUCAACCGGGGGGGGUCCCGGGGGACGGCGGGGCUGGAGGCGGGGAGAGGCCGGUGGAAUUCGGGGUGGAGCGGUGAAAUGCGUAGAGCCCCCGAGGAACACCCGUGGCGAAGGCGGCCGGCUGGGCCCGUCCUGACACUGAGGCGCGAAGGCCGGGGGAGCGAACGGG